rnacentral:rRNA from 1 species
UACGUAGGUCCCGAGCGUUAUCCGGAUUUAUUGGGCGUAAAGCGAGCGCAGGCGGUUAGAUAAGUCUGAAGUUAAAGGCUGUGGCUUAACCAUAGUACGCUUUGGAAACUGUUUAACUUGAGUGCAGAAGGGGAGAGUGGAAUUCCAUGUGUAGCGGUGAAAUGCGUAGAUAUAUGGAGGAACACCGGUGGCGAAAGCGGCUCUCUGGUCUGUAACUGACGCUGAGGCUCG